AAGUCGUAACAAGGUUUCCGUAGGUGAACCUGCGGAAGGAUCAUUAAUGAUUGACCGAAAGGUCCUAUCUUAACAUCCCUCACCUCUGUGAACCGUUUGACCUCCGGGUCUAACAAACUAUACAAACAUCAGUGUAAUGAACGUCUUGUUAUCUUAACAAAAACAAAACUUUUAACAACGGAUCUCUUGGCUCUC
rnacentral:misc_RNA from 1 species